CUACGGGAUGCUGCAGUGAGGAAUAUUGCACAAUGGGGGGAACCCUGAUGCAGCAACGCCGCGUGGAGGAUGACGCAUUUCGGUGUGUAAACUCCUUUUAUAUGUCAAGAAAAUGACGGUAGCAUAUGAAUAAGCACCGGCUAACUCCGUGCCAGCAGCCGCGGUAAUACGGAGGGUGCAAGCGUUACUCGGAAUCACUGGGCGUAAAGGACGCGUAGGCGGGUUGGAAAGUCAGGUGUGAAAUCCUACAGCUUAACUGUAGAACUGCACUUGAAACUGUUAAUCUAGAGUAUGGGAGGGGAAGAUGGAAUUAGUGGUGUAGGGGUAAAAUCCGUAGAUAUCACUAGGAAUACCUAAAGCGAAGGCGAUCUCCUGGAACAUUACUGACGCUAAGGCGUGAAAGCGUGGGGAGCAAACAGGAUUAGAUACCCCCGUAGUC
rnacentral:rRNA from 1 species